rnacentral:rRNA from 1 species
CGUUAUCCGGAAUUAUUGGGCGUAAAGCGCGCGUAGGCGGUUUCUUAAGUCUGAUGUGAAAGCCCACGGCUCAACCGUGGAGGGUCAUUGGAAACUGGGAAACUUGAGUGCAGAAGAGGAGAGUGGAAUUCCAUGUGUACCGGUGAAAUG